UUACAGCGCUCGUGGACAAGAGGGAUGAACACGUCCCAUUUAGGUUAGUCAUGGAUGGGCCUGGACCACAUAGGCCAACAGGUUUUUCUUUUGAAAAGGAGGAUAACCCCCGGCCUCUGCAUCAGAAUGAUGCAUGCAGCCAUUUUAUUGAAAUAAAGUUCCCAAACAAAGUCUCAAGUUCAGUAAAGGCUAACAAAAGGAGCAAAAACCAACAAAGAUUAAAAGAACUGCCACAACCAGUGACAAAUAGGCCAAGAUGACUAAACACAUAUCCUAUUAUUGGAUCGCCAUCCAAACCGGUUGUAGAUAACCCGUGCUACCAUCUUCCAUCAGUUGCACCCAAUAGCCAAAAGCUCCCUGGAGUCUGCAUGAGUGAGUAACGACUACGUAUGGAUCCAAGCAGUGGCUCAGUAUAUAACCUGCAAAAAGUUGAUGAAAUUUUUCCUGUUAAAGAUUAUAUCAUUUCUGCAGUUCCAUAUAGCCCAAAGUAGUGCGCAUAUCCCUAUCCGAAUAUGUCCCACAAUAUUUGAUUCCACUCCGGUUAGCCACGUCCCAAAUAACGUGUCGAUACUAAUUGGAGGAGUAACGUUAAAGGCUAUAUGUAUCGUGCGCCAUAGUAGUUUGGCGAGAGGAUAAUCAAGAAAGAGGUGUUUUAUGGUUUCAUUCUGGUCACAAAAACAACAUCGUGAACUACCCACCCAUCUUCGCUUUACCAGGUUAUCCUUGGUUAGAAUCACUUCCUUGUGGACAAACCACAUGAAGAUUUUGAUUCUUAGCGGAACUUUAACCUUCCAUAUGUGGAAUAAUCUCGUCACUGGCCCAAAGUUAAUUAAGUCCAGGUACAUAGAUUUCACCGUGAAACUACCGUUCCUGGAUAAUUUCCAUCAAAUGGUAUCUGGCUGGUCAGAGAGUUGAACCUCCAUCAACCUACGGACCAGAUGUAGCCAAGAUAUCCAGCGUUCGCCCACUAAAGCCCUCCUGAACUGAAUGUUUAGUGGAACCGACUAUAAUACUGUAGCGACAUAAGCUCCUUACGUUGUACAAUAUUAUAGAGCGUGUAAGGCUAAAGGCAUCUCCCCUAACCAUGUAUCUUGCCAGAAUCUCGUACCAUUGCCAUUACCAAUGUUAAACUUCGCCCUCUGGAAAAAGGUUUCUUUCAUCCUCAUUAACCCCUUUCAGAAGGGCGAGUCAUUAGGGCCAAUGUCUUGGAUUGUAGGUACUUAUUACGCAAAAUUUGUACCCACGUACCCUCGGCUUCAACAGACAACCUAAAUAGCCAUCUGUUAAGUAGGCAUCUAUUUUUAACCUCUAAAUUCUCAACCCCUAAUCCACCUUGGUCCUUGGGUCUGCAAAUUAUAUCCCAUAUGGUUAAUCUGUAUUUCGUUUUUACUUCAUCACAUUGCCAGAAAAAAAGAGAUGGAUAAAAGUCUAAUCUUUUCCGUACCCCAACCGGUACUUCAAGAAAAGAUAAGAGAAACAUCGGCAUGCUAGUUAAAACUGAAUUUAUCAACACUAGCGGACCCCCAUAAGACAUAAGGUUGCCCUUCUGGCAGCUUAGUUUUUGCUCAAAUCGAUCUUCAAGGUACUUCCACUCCUUAUUCAAAGAAACUGGACGGGGUUAUCUUCAAAGUGGAUUUCGAGAAAGCAUACGAUAAGGUCAAAUGGCCCUUCCUCCAGCAGGCCUUGCGCAUGAAGGGGUUGUUGUGCACCCAACACAAUCUGCGUUCAUGCUCGGGAGACACAUCCCUCUCGAACCAACCUAGUUCGAAGGAGAAAGUGUUCUUGUUGCCCGCAUGGGUAGCUUCCUAGAGUCGAGCAGCAAAGGCGUGUGGUCAGAAAUUGCCCUCUGCAACGCCUGGACCGUUACCAAGGGAAAUUUUUGUUCCCAUUCAACACUGGCUAGAACCCUGUCCAACUUCUAAUAAGUCGGAUGGGGCAGUGUGUUCGCCCACGUGAACUGUCUGCCAGUGCGGUCUAUUCCCCUCAGAUCAAGACUCUCAAUAAUCGUAUUAAACAUAAAUGACCAUCUUCCAUCGAAGUUGUCAUUAUUCUUCUCUUCUCUCCUAUAUAUGUUAAAAUCACCCCCUACUAGAAGAGGUAACCUUUCGUCCCCGCAUAUCCUCACAAGGUCGGCAAGGAAGUCAGGUUUUAACUCAGGUUGAGCUGCUCCAUACACAGCCACCAACGCCCAUCGAAAUCCAUCAAUUUUUGAUCUCACUCGAAAUUUGACGGCAAAGUCACCACGAACAACAUUCACCACUUCCAGCGUUUCGCACUUAACCCCAAGUAAUAUUCCUCCGGAUCGACCCCUUGGUGGUAAACAGUGCUAGUCAAACUCAACCCCACCUGAUAUGGUAUUGAGGAAUUGCGAGGUGAAAUUAUCUCGCCCUGUCUCAGUAAAGCAAUAAAAUCGAGUUUAUGCUCUACAGAUGCUUCCGCAAGGAAUCUCCUUUUAGCCAAGUCCGCUAGACCUCUGCUAUUCCAAAAGAUCCCCUUCAUUUAUCAUCAUGGAAUUUUUUCUUGAAUUUGACUCUCGCACUCCUACGUAUUGCCGAUGUAGGAUAAACCUUCCUCUUCCAGGAUCUUUUUUGGUUUAUCCUGCACCACCACGUCUUCCUCCUGAGCGUGGGCAGUAAGUAUCGUGGGCAGUAAGUAUAGGACUAUCAUCAGGUUUCAAAGGAGCCGUAUACCCCUCUGAACCCGUUUCAUCCUCCCCUCCUCAUUCUCUAUCCCCUCAGUGGAUAUUAGAUCCUCACAUAGACUCUGUAAUGCUGUUACCCCAAGAUUAUUAAUUUCGGCAUCAUUCAUAGGUUUAUUACGAAUCAUCUCCAUGGCUCUAUCUGCUUCUAAGUCAAACAGAUCAUUUAUUGUUUUCGCCAUUUCCUUCCCAUUACUACCAAGAGAUAUCCCUAAGUUACCCGCAUUAUUAACGAUUUCAUGCUCUGAAAAAUGAAGAAUGGGACAAUUCGUAUUAACAGACAUACUUGUAGUUGCUUCGAUGUCACGAAGCUUGGCUGCCCGCAUGGCACACCCCAACAACAGGUCAUCCGCAUCUGGUUGGGCCUCAAUCCGGUGAUUGACUAGCCUGUCACCAGUCAUCGGGUCCGAAACCCCACCAAAAGUAAUCACGUCCUCUGUAGAGACAUCAGCCGGGACGUGGCCGCCUGCCACAUGCCCGACCACUCUUGGAGUCACUGACGUGGGAGAGGGAGACCGUGACAGCCUUGUGGGCUGCCCCACCGGUCUAUCUCCCCCCUCCACUAGCGUCGAAGAUGCCCCGAUCAACCUCCCCUCCCCAAGACCCUGGGGGAUAUCAUCCACCCUGGGUGGUGAAGCACGGUGUGGUGCAGAUUGCGGUGGUGAAGUUGAUGAAGACCGCGGUGGCGAGGGGGAAGAGCGUCGGGCCUCCUGCCCAAGACUUCCCACCACCUCCUCCGUCGAAGAUGAGCGCCCCCUCCUUGGCGUGGAAAGAGAUGGCCGCACAAUGACCACCUAUCCUGGGGUCCCCUCUGUCCCACCCGACGCGGCAGUCGGGCCACAACCGUGCCCGGACUCCAAACUCAGCCCAGAAGUACCCGCUGACAAAGCCGGCAGAGUCAUGUGCUCCUCCGUCUCUACCCGGUCACCCCACAAACGACUAGGUGCGGAAGCCGCGUGGAAUGAACCGAAUCUGAGUGUAGCCGUCGGCGUCGUCGUCGGCGCAGUCCCCCUAUUUGUCGGCACCUUCGCGGACUGAGCAGACUGUUUCGCCGGUCUGGGCGUCUUAUCACUCGUAUUACGAGUCCCAUCGUUAUCUUGGUUCCCAUUCCGAUCACCUCCGUCUGUCAUGUCCACAUUUUUAAUCGCAACAGUCUCGUCCCGUAUGGGUUGUUAAGGAGUAUUAGUAUUGGUCUAGGAGUCUUUAUUAGUCUAUGUUUAGUUUCCUUGCACCUCAAGUCAUGUGUAAUACCGAACAAGACAAGUGCAACCGAACACCUUGGGUGGAACUGAGAAUUUAUUUUCUGCAAAAACCAACUCACACGGUGAUUUCAUACCUCACCUGGGAUGGCGUGCGGUUGAUCAAGAGGGCGGGCAUCAUGACAACUUCGCUCCACAGGAACUUGGGCACAUUCGUGGUGAACAUCAGGGCCCGGGCCGCCUCUAGCAGGUGGUGAUUUUUCCUCUCUGCCAUUCCAUUCCGCGGAGGUGUGUCCCGACAAGAUGUUUGAUGGAGGAUGCCCUUGUCUGACAUGAAGGCACCAAUGGCCUUGUUAACAUACUGCAUAAAAAACUUUGAAACACUUCAUUUUUGUGUUUUAGAAGAUAGACCCAAGUCAUCCGAGAAUGGCAAGCGAUGAAUGUAACGAAGUACUUCAUACCACUGACAGAUAGCACUGGACAGGUCCAUACAUCAGAGUGGAUUAACACAAAAGGAGAUAUGCUCCUGAUCCCCUUACUCACAUAUGAGUUUCUGGUAUGUUUAACAAACUCACACGCAUCACAUUUCAGCCUCUUCUUGUCCACACCACUCUUUACAUCAGGAAAUACUUGGUACAUUUUGUCAGAACACAUGUCCCAUCCUACAGUAAUGGAUCAGGGCUCUAGUCUCCUUAUCCUCAGCAAUUGCAGCUAGCAUGUGCAUUCCCUCCUGGUCCAACAUGCUGUGGUCCAUGUACCACAACCCCCUAUGCCUCGUUCCAGUCUCAAGACUCCUGCCCGUCGAUCUCCCGCGGAUGAAGAACACAACCUUGCCAAGAAUUAUUCGGCAAUCUAUUUGGCCAACCAAAGCACUCAAGGACACUAAGUUAACGGGAAAAGUUGGCGCAUGCAACGCCGAGCAUGCUCCAAUACUCGGUGUCAGGGUCGUCUCCAGGAAUUGGGGGCCCUGGGACGAAAUAAGAAAUGGGGCCCUAAAUUCUAUAAUAAUCAUAUAACUACAGCAUACUUCAAAUAUGUGUAUAAUAUUUAUAAAUAAAUCAAAUCUAAAUGCUAGAAUAGUAGAUGUGGUAUUAAAGUCAUAAAAGAUCUAAUGUUCUACCUAAACAAAUAUCAUUUAUCAUUUAAUGGAAGUAAUGAUUCAAACAAUAAAUCAGUUUGGUUUCAUGCAUGGGAGGUCGACCAUGGAAGCCAUUUUCUUGGUACAACAACUUACGGAGAGAUACAAGGAGCAAAAGAAGGACCUACAUAUGGUGUUCAUUGACUUGGAGAAGGCCUAUCAUAAGAUACCGCAUAAUGUCAUGUGGUGGGCCUUGGAGAAACACAAAGUCCGAGCAAAGUACAUUACCCUCAUGAAGGACAUGUACAAUAAUGUUGGGACAAGUGUUGGAACAAGUGAUGGCGACACUGAUGACUUCCCGUUUAAAAUAAGACUGCACCAGGGGUUAGCUUUGAGCCCUUAUCUUUUUGCUUUGGUGAUGGAUGAGGUCACAAGGGAUAUGCAAGGAGAUAUCCCAUGAUGUAUGCUCUUUGCGGAUGAGGUGGUGCUAGUCGAUGAUAGUCAGACGGGGGUAAAUAGGAAGUUAGAGCUAUGGAGACAAACCUUGGAAUCGAAUGAUUUUAGACUUAGUAGAACUAAAACCUAGUACAUGAUGCGUGGUUUCAGUACUACUAGGCACGAGAGAGGAGGUUAGCCUUGAUGGGCAGGUGGUGCCUCAGAAGGACACCUUUCGAUAUUUGGGGUUAAUGCUGCAGAAGGAUGGGGAUAUUGAUGAAGAUGUGAACCAUCGAAUCAAGGCGGGAUGGACGAAGUGGCGCCAAGCUUCUGGCAUUCUCCGUGACAAGAGAGUGUCACAAAAGCUAAAAGGCAAGUUCUAUAGGACGGCGAUUCGACCCGCAAUGUUGUAUGGCGCUGAGUGUUGGCCGACUAAAAAGGCGACAUGCUCAACAGUUAGGUGUGGCGGAGAUGCGCAUGUUGAGACGGAUGUGUGGCCACACGAGAAAGGACGGAGUCCGGAAUGAUGAUAUACGAGAUAGAGUUGGGGUAGCGCUGAUUGAAGAGAAGCUUGUCCAACAUCGUCUGAGAUGGUUUGGGCGUAUUCAGCGCUAGCCUCCAGAAGCUCCAGUGCAUAGCGGACGGCUAAAGCAUGCUGACGAUGUCAAGAGAGGUCGGGGUAGACCGAACUUGACAUGGCAGGAGUCUGUAAUGAGAGAUCUGAAGGACCGGUGUAUCACCAAACAACUAGCCUACCCCAAUUUGUUUGGGACUAAAGGCUUUGUAAUGAUUCAAACAAUAAAUGAGUUUUAAGGUUAGCAUGGUAGGAAAACAAGAAAAACAUAAACCUUGAAAUUUGAAGCAGCAACUAUUGUGUAUGACCAGCUAUCCACAUAAAUACUUUUGGAGUUUUGCUUUGUACACACCCGUAAAAGUUUGCACACUUGAAGUUACUUAAAAAGUUCAUAGUUUUAUAAAUUUAUCUGAAUUCUCGGGGCAUAAAGCAAUGUGUUAGUUAACAAUCUAUCUAAAAUACAAUGGCUAAUGUUGUAAUUUACUAAUUACCAAACAGUGCUACUGUUGUAAAGCUCAUUGCAAUUAUGCCUAGAAAACAACCUAAAAGCCUAGAUUUAAAAUAUAUCAUAUGAAAGGUCGUGCUUACCUAGAUUAAAUGAAGAACUGAGGAGCACG
rnacentral:lncRNA from 1 species